AGUGAACGCUGGCGGUAGGCCUAACACAUGCAAGUCGAACGGCAGCACAGUAAGAGCUUGCUCUUACGGGUGGCGAGUGGCGGACGGGUGAGGAAUACAUCGGAAUCUACUUUUUCGUGGGGGAUAACGUAGGGAGACUUACGCUAAUACCGCAUACGACCUACGGGUGAAAGCAGGGGAUCUUCGGACCUUGCGCGAUUGAAUGAGCCGAUGUCGGAUUAGCUAGUUGGCGGGGUAAAGGCCCACCAAGGCGACGAUCCGUAGCUGGUCUGAGAGGAUGAUCAGCCACAAUGGAACCGGGAAACCGUCCCGACUCCCAAGGGAGGGAGCAGGGGGGAAUAUUGGGCAAUGGGGGGGAACCUGAACCCGCCAGAACGAGUGGGGGAAAGAAGCCUUUCGGGUGGAAAGCCCCUUUUGUGGGAAAAAAAAGCCGGAGGUUAAUACCCCGCUGGUUUGACGGUAACCAAAGAAUAAGCACCGGCUAACUUUGUG
rnacentral:rRNA from 1 species